rnacentral:rRNA from 1 species
UACGGAGGGGGCUAGCGUUGUUCGGAAUUACUGUGCGUAAAGCGCACGUAGGCGGCUUUGCAAGUUAGAGGUGAAAGCCCGGGGCUCAACUCCGGAAUUGCCUUUAAAACUGCAUCGCUAGAAUUGUGGAGAGGUAAGUGGAAUUCCGAGUGUAGAGGUGAAAUUCGUAGAUAUUCGGAAGAACACCAGUGGCGAAGGCGACUUACUGGACACAUAUUGACGCUGAGGUGCGAAAGCGUGGGGAGCAAACAGG